UACAGGGGGUGCAAACGUUGCUCGGAAUCAUUGGGCGUAAAGCGCACGUAGGCGGUUCGUUAUGUCGGAUGUGAAAGCCCUUGGCUUAACCGAGGAAGUGCAUCCGAAACUGGCGAGCUAGAGUACUAAAGAGGAUCGCGGAAUUCCCGGUGUAGAGGUGAAAUUCGUAGAUAUACGGAGGAACACCAGCGGCGAAGGCGGGUAGCUGGGCCAACACUGACGCUGAUGCGCGAAAGCCAGGGGAGCAAACGGG
rnacentral:rRNA from 1 species